UCGUACACACACGUAUUCGGAUUGCACAAUUAAGCCGGGUUUCCACUUGUCAUAUUUUAUAACUGAGACCACGUCCGUGUGUCUGGAAUCCGUGGCACGGAUAAUUAUUUGAUCGCGUAUAGGUCCGCGCUUGUUAUCUCGUACGAGUCAAGUUAUCGGAUCCGCGGUUCCACGGACAUGUAUCGACUUUCUCGGACGAUAUUCCAUCCGAAAAUAACUGCAAUAUCAUUUUACCAAUCAUUCAGUGCUUUUCGUGUAUUUCAGUCUUCCGAAAGGGGAAUUGUAUUG